rnacentral:rRNA from 1 species
GAUGAACGCUGGCGGCGUGCCUAAUACAUGCAAGUCGAGCGAACAGAUGAGUAGCUUUCUCCUCUGACGUUAGCGGCGGACGGGUGAGUAACACGUUGAUAACCUACCUAUAAGACUGGGAUAACUUCGGGAAACCGGAGCUAAUACCGGAUAAUAUAUUGAACCGCAUGGUUCAAUAGUGAAAGACGGUUUUGCUGUCACUUAUAGAUGGAUCCGCGCCGCAUUAGCUAGUUGGUAAGGUAACGGCUUACCAAGGCAACGAUGCGUAGCCGACCUGAGAGGGUGAUCGGCCACGCUGGAACUGAGACACGGUCCAGACUCCGACGGGAGGCAGCAGUAGGGAAUCUUCCGCAAUGGGCGAAAGACUGACGGAGCAACGCCGCGUGAGUGAUGAAGGUCUUCGGAUCGUAAAACACUGUUAUUAGGGAAGAACAAAUGUGAAAGUAACUAUGCACGUCUUGACGGUACCUAAUCAGAAAGCCAAGGCUAACUACGUG